UGCUGGCUUCGGCAGCAGAUGUACUAAAAUUGGAAUGAUACAGAGAACAGUAACACGGGCCCUGCACAAAGAUGACAUGCAAUUUCAUGAAAGAUUCUAUAUUUAA